GGUGAACGCUGGCGGCGUGCCUAACACAUGCAAGUCGAGCGGUGCAGUUUGAAGCUUCGGUGGAAAGCUGCAUAGCGGCGGACGGGUGAGGAAAACGUAGGAACGUGCCCCUUGGAGUUGGAUAGCCACGGGAAACUGUGGGUAAACCGACAUAGACUCGAGAGAGUAAAGGCCGAAAGGCGCCAAGGGAGCGGCCUGCGGCCCAUCAGGUAGUUGGUAGUGUAAAGGACUACCAAGCCGACGACGGGUAGCCGGUCUGAGAGGAUGGCCGGCCACAAGGGCACUGAGACACGGUCCAGACUCCUACGGGAGGCAGCAGUGGGGAAUUUUGGACAAUGGGCGCAAGCCUGAUCCAGCAAUGCCGCGUGCAGGAUGAAGGCCUUCGGGUUGUAAACUGCUUUUGUACGGAACGAAAAGGCUCUGGUUAAUACCUGGGGCUCAUGACGGUACCGUAAGAAUAAGCACCGGCUAACUACGUGCCAGCAGCCGCGGUAAGGCUACGUAGA
rnacentral:rRNA from 1 species